CCUGGCUCAGGACGAACGCUGGCGGCGUGCCUAAGCUUAUGCAAGUCGAACGCGAAAGGCUCCUUCGGGAGCCGAGUAGAGUGGCAGACGGGUGAGUAACGCGUGGGUAACGUGCCCCAAUCCUGGGAAUAACCCUCGGAAACGAGGGCUAAUACCGAAUGUGGCCCCCGAUCGGAUGAUCGGUGGCUAGAGGUGGCCUCUUCUAUGCUGCCGGGUUGGGAUCGGCCCGCGUCCCAUUAGCUAGUUGGUGAGGUAACGGCCCACCAAGGCAACGAUGGGUAGCCGGCCUGAGAGGGUGUCCGGCCACACUGGCACUGAGACAAGGGCCAGUCCCCUAUGGGAGGCGCAGGCGGGAAUAGUUCCCAAUGGACGAAAGUCUGAGGACGCGACGCCGCGUGAGCGAAGAAGGCCUUCGGGUUGUAAAGCUCUGUCAGGAGGGAAGAAGGCGCUGGGUGUUAAUAGCACCAAGCGUUGACGGUACUUCCAGAGGAAGCCCCGGCUAAAUACGUGCCAGCAGCCGCGGUAAUACGUAUGGGGCAAGCGUUGUCCGGAUUAACUGGGCGUAAAGGGCACGCAGGCGGUUCGUUUAGUCGAAGGUGAAAUCCCUGGGCUCAACUCAGGAACUGCCUUCGAUACUGGCGAACUAGAGUGGCGUAGAGGAAAGCGGAACUCCUGGUGUAACGGUGGAAUGUGUAGAUAUCAGGAGGAACACCGGUGGCGAAGGCGGCUUUCUGGACGCACACUGACGCUCAGGUGCGAAAGCGUGGGUAGCAAACAGGAUUAGAUACCCUGGUAGUCCACGCCGUAAACGAUGGGUACUAGGUGUCGGGGGUAUCGAUCCCCUCGGUGCCGAAGUCAACGCAUUAAGUACCCCGCCUGGGGAGUAUGGUCGCAAGGCUGAAACUCAAAGGAAUUGACGGGGUCCCCGCACAAGCGGUGGAGCAUGUGGUUUAAUUCGACGCAACGCGAAGAACCUUACCUGGGCUUGACAUGCUUGGGACAGCGCUGGAAACAGCGUCUCUCCUUCGGGAGUCCUUGCACAGGUGCUGCAUGGCUGUCGUCAGCUCGUGUCGUGAGAUGUCGGGUUAA
rnacentral:rRNA from 1 species